GAUGAACGCUGGCGGCGUGCUUAACACAUGCAAGUCGAACGGAAAGGCCCAAGCUUGCUUGGGUACUCGAGUGGCGAACGGGUGAGUAACACGUGGGUGAUCUGCCCUGCACUUCGGGAUAAGCCUGGGAAACUGGGUCUAAUACCGGAUAGGACCACUUCUUGGAUGUUGUGGUGGAAAGUUUUUUCGGUGUGGGAUGAGCUCGCGGCCUAUCAGCUUGUGGGUGGGGUAAUGGCCUACCAAGGCGUCGACGGGUAGCCGGCCUGAGAGGGUGUACGGCCACAUUGGGACUGAGAUACGGCCCAGACUCCUACGGGAGGCAGCAGUGGGGAAUAUUGAACAAUGGGCGCAAGCCUGAUGCAGCGACGCCGCGUGGGGGAUGACGGCCUUCGGGUUGUAAACUCCUUUCGCUAGGGACGAAGCGUUUUUGUGACGGUACCUGGAGAAGAAGCACCGGCUAACUACGUG
rnacentral:rRNA from 1 species